rnacentral:rRNA from 1 species
UACGGAAGGCAGCAGUGGGGAAUAUUGCACAAUGGGCGCAAGCCUGAUGCAGCCAUGCCGCGUGUAUGAAGAAGGCCUUCGGGUUGUAAAGUACUUUCAGUCGUGAGGAAGGUGUUAAGGUUAAUAACCUUAGCAAUUGACGUUAGCGACAGAAGAAGCACCGGCUAACUCCGUGCCAGCAGCCGCGGUAAUACGGAGGGUGCGAGCGUUAAUCGGAAUUACUGGGCGUAAAGGGCACGCAGGCGGUUAAUUAAGUUGGAUGUGAAAUCCCCGGGCUUAACCUGGGAAUGGCAUUCAAGACUGGUUUAGCUAGAGUCUUGUAGAGGGGGUAGAAUUCCAUGUGUAGCGGUGAAAUGCGUAGAGAUGUGGAGGAAUACCGGUGGCGAAGGCGGCCCCUGGGACAAAGACUGACGCUCAUGUGCGAAAGCGUGGGGAGCAAACAGGAUUAGAUACC